GGGUAGCGUAACACGUGAGCAACCUGCCGAUCUGAGGGGGGAUAGCCGGCCCAACGGCCGGGUAAUACCGCAUACGUUCUCGAGGGGGAGUCCUCUUGAGAAGAAACCUCCGGGGCAGAUCGAGGGGCUCGCGGCCUAUCAGCUAGUUGGCGGUGUAAUGGACCACCAAGGCGACGACGGGUAGCUGGUCUGAGAGGAUGGCCAGCCACAUUGGGACUGAGAGACGGCCCAG
rnacentral:rRNA from 1 species